rnacentral:rRNA from 1 species
GCGCAGCAGGCGCGAAAACUCCGCAAUGCCCGAAAGGGUGACGGGGGAGUUCCAAGUGCCUACGCUUAGCGUAGGCUGUUCAGGUGCCUAAAAAGACACCUGGAGGAAGGGCUGGGUAAGACGGGUGCCAUCUGCAGUGGUAACGAAAGAUUUGAUUUGCUACUGCAAGGCAUAAGCCGCCGCGGUAAUACCCGCAGCCCGAGUGGUAGUCGCUUUUAUUGGGCCUAAAGCGUCCGUAGCCGGUCUGGUAAAUGCCUGGGGUAAAUCGUGGGGCUUAACCUCACGAAUUCCGGGUAGACUGCCAGACUUGGGACCGGUUGAGGGAGAGGGUACUCCAGGGGUAGGGGUGAAAUCAGCAAGGUAAGCUGAUGUAACUUGCCUUGCAAGUCACAACCCUGUAAUCCGUUGGAGGACCACCGGUGGCGAAAGCGCUUUUCCUAGGACGGGUCCGACGGUGAGGGACGAAAGCCAGGGAGCAAACCGGAUUAGAUACACGUGUAGU